ACUCAAAUGAAUUGACGGGGGCCCGCACAAGCGGCGGAGCGUGCGGUUUAAUUCGACGCAACGCGCAGAACCUUACCGAGGCUUGACAUGGGGCUGCAGGGUGGUGAAAGCCACCGGCCUUCGAGGGGGCCCCACAGGUGCUGCAUGGCUGUCGUCAGCUCGUGCCGUGAGGUGUUGGGUUAAGUCCCGCAACGAGCGCAACCCCCGCGCCGAGUUGUCGUUAUCUCGGCGGACUGCCGGCCGCAAACCGGAGGAAGGUGGGGAUGAUGUCAAGUCAGCAUGGCCCUUACGCCUCGGGCCACACGCACGCUACAAUGGCCGGGACAGUGGGUGGCCAAGCCGCAAGGCGGAGCGAAUCCCCCAAACCCGGUCUCAGUUCGGAUCGGGGGCUGCAACUCGCCCCCGUGAAGGCGGAGUCGCUAGUAACCGCGGGUCAGCACUACCGCGGUGAAUAUGUUCCCGGGCCUUGCACACACCGCCCGU
rnacentral:rRNA from 1 species